AUUGAACGCUGGCGGCAGGCCUAACACAUGCACGUCGAACGAGUGGCGGACGGGUGAGUAAUGUCUGGGAAACUGCCCGAUGGAGGGGGAUAACUACUGGAAACGGUAGCUAAUACCGCAUACCCUCGGAUGUGCCCAGAUGGGAUUAGCUAGUAGGUGGGGUAAUGGUUCACCUAGGCGCAGAUCCCUAGCUGGUCUGAGAGGAUGAACAGCCACACUCGAACUGAGACACGGUCCAGAUUCCUACGGGAGGCAGCAGUGGGGAAUAUUGCACAAUGGGCGCAAGCCUGGUGCAGCCAUGCCGCGUGGAUGAAGAAGGCCUUCGGGUUGUAAAGUACUGUCAGCGGGGAGGCGUUACCCGCAGAAGAAGCACCGGCUAACUCCGUGCCAGCAGCCGCGGUAAUAC
rnacentral:rRNA from 1 species